AUGUGGAGUUACACUGGUCCCGCAGUGAAGCCCUCCGUGUCUCUGCUGCCUCCCUCUUCUCUGCAGAUCUCUGGAGACUCAGCCGCACUGCUCUGCCUGCUCAGCUCUUACUCUCCACAGGGGGCGCAGGUGAGCUGGACGCUGGACGGGUCAGAGGUCACCGAGGGGGUUCAGACCAGCGCAGAGAGCGAGCGGGACGGACGCUACAGCCGCAGCAGCGUCCUGAGCCUCAGCAAAGCACGCUGGGAAGACGGCGAGCGCUUCGUCUGCAGAGUAACACAUGACGGAGCUGAUCACGAGACCUCGUUCCUCAAGAGCUCCGAGUGCUGAUGUUUCUCCAGUGAAGAGCAGCAGGAUUCACAGCAGUCACCUGAUUUACAGCUCAAUACUCAAGCAGUCUUUCAAUGUGCUGCCAUUGCUGUUCAUUCAAUAAAGCUUCUGAACGCCUUACAUUUGUGUUCGACUGC